AAGUCGAGCGGAUGAAAGAGAGCUUGCUCUCUGGAAUCAGCGGCGGACGGGUGAGUAACACGUGGGCAACCUGCCUGUAAGACUGGGAUAACUCCGGGAAACCGGGGCUAAUACCGGAUAACUUCUUUUCCCGCAUGGGGAGAGGUUGAAAGACGGUUAUGCUGUCACUUACAGAUGGGCCCGCGGCGCAUUAGCUAGUUGGUGGGGUAACGGCCUACCAAGGCGACGAUGCGUAGCCGACCUGAGAGGGUGAUCGGCCACACUGGGACUGAGACACGGCCCAGACUCCUACGGGAGGCAGCAGUAGGGAAUCUUCCGCAAUGGACGAAAGUCUGACGGAGCAACGCCGCGUGAGUGACGAAGGCCUUCGGGUCGUAAAACUCUGUUAUCAGGGAAGAACAAGCAUCGUUUAACUGACGGUGCCAUGACGGUACCUGACCAGAAAGCCACGGCUAACUACGUGCCAGCAGCCGCGGUAAUACGUAGGUGGCAAGCGUUGUCCGGAAUUAUUGGGCGUAAAGCGCGCGCAGGCGGCUUCUUAAGUCUGAUGUGAAAGCCCACGGCUCAACCGUGGAGGGUCAUUGGAAACUGGGAGGCUUGAGUGCAGAAGAGGAGAGCGGAAUUCCACGUGUAGCGGUGAAAUGCGUAGAGAUGUGGAGGAACACCAGUGGCGAAGGCGGCUCUCUGGUCUGUAACUGACGCUGAGGCGCGAAAGCGUGGGUAGCGAACAGGAUUAGAUACCCUGGUAGUCCACGCCGUAAACGAUGAGUGCUAAGUGUUAGGGGGUUUCCGCCCCUUAGUGCUGCAGCAAACGCAUUAAGCACUCCGCCUGGGGAGUACGGCCGCAAGGCUGAAACUCAAAGGAAUUGACGGGGGCCCGCACAAGCG
rnacentral:rRNA from 1 species